rnacentral:rRNA from 1 species
GACGUAGGAUGCAAGCGUUAUCCGGAAUUAUUGGGCGUAAAGAGUUCGUAGGUGUUUUGUUAAGUAGAAUAUUAAAGACUGGGGCUCAACUCCAGGAAGGUAUUCUAAACUGGCAAAAUCGAGUUGGGUAGAGGUGAAUGGAAUUCUGUGUGUAGGGGUUACAUCCGUAGAUAUACAGAGGAACACCAAAAGCGAAGGCAGUUCACUGGACCUUAACUGACACUCAAGAACGAAAGCGUGGGGAG